rnacentral:snRNA from 1 species
GGAUGUGAGGGCGAUCUGGCUGUGACAUCUGUCACCCCAUUGAUCACCAGGGUUGAUUCGGCUGAUCUGACUGACUAGACAGGUGUCCCCUUCCUCCCUCACCGCUCCAUGUGAGUCCCUCCUGAAGCUGCAUGCUCGGUCAAAGAGGAUGACCAUCCCCGAUAGAGGAGGACCGUUCUUUUCGGUCAAGGGUAUAGGCGUUGUGCGCCCCCCUUGCUAGAACCUCCAAACAAGCCCUCAAAAUACACUAAUCUAUCUUCUUAGCUAUAUUUUUCAGAACAUUUGAAUCAGUUAAACAGAAGUU